rnacentral:rRNA from 1 species
CAAUAGCGUAUAUUAAAGUUGUUGCGGUUAAAAAGCUCGUAGUUGGAUUUCUGCUGAGAACGACCGGUCCGCCCUUUGGGUGUGUAUCUGGCUCUUUCUUGGCAUCUUCUUGGUGAACGUUGCUGCACUUGACUGUGUGGAGCGCUACCCAGGACUUUUACUUUGAGGAAAUUAGAGUGUUUCAAGCAGGCAUACGCCUUGAAUACAUUAGCAUGGAAUAAUAAGAUAGGACCUCGGUUCUAUUUUGUUGGUUUCUAGAGCUGAGGUAAUGAUUAAUAGGGAUAGUUGGGGGCAUUCGUAUUUAACUGUCAGAGGUGAAAUUCUUGGAUUUGUGAAAGACUAACUUCUGCGAAAGCAUUUGCCAAGGAUGUUUUCAUUA